rnacentral:misc_RNA from 1 species
GAUCAUUACAAGUGACCCCGGUCUAACCACCGGGAUGUUCAUAACCCUUUGUUGUCCGACUCUGUUGCCUCCGGGGCGACCCUGCCUUCGGGCGGGGGCUCCGGGUGGACACUUCAAACUCUUGCGUAACUUUGCAGUCUGAGUAAACUUAAUUAAUAAAUUAAAACUUUUAACAACGGAUCUCUUGGUUCUGGCAUCGAUGAAGAACGCAGCGAAAUGCGAUAAGUAAUGUGAAUUGCAGAAUUCAGUGAAUCAUCGAAUCUUUGAACGCACAUUGCGCCCCCUGGUAUUCCGGGGGGCAUGCCUGUUCGAGCGUCAUUUCACCACUCAAGCCUCGCUUGGUAUUGGGCAACGCGGUCCGCCGCGUGCCUCAAAUCGACCGGCUGGGUCUUCUGUCCCCUAAGCGUUGUGGAAACUAUUCGCUAAAGGGUGUUCGGGAGGCUACGCCGUAAAACAACCCCAUUUCUAAGGUUGACCUCG